GGCGAACGCUGGCGGCGUGCUUAACACAUGCAAGUCGAACGGAAAGACCCUGCUUUUGUGGGGUGCUCGAGUGGCGAACGGGUGAGUAACACGUGAGUAACCUGCCCUUGACUUUGGGAUAACUUCAGGAAACUGGGGCUAAUACCGGAUAGGAGCUCCUGCUGCAUGGUGGGGGUUGGAAAGUUUCGGCGGUUGGGGAUGGACUCGCGGCUUAUCAGCUUGUUGGUGGGGUAGUGGCUUACCAAGGCUUUGACGGGUAGCCGGCCUGAGAGGGUGACCGGCCACAUUGGGACUGAGAUACGGCCCAGACUCCUACGGGAGGCAGCAGUGGGGAAUAUUGCACAAUGGGCGGAAGCCUGAUGCAGCAACGCCGCGUGCGGGAUGACGGCCUUCGGGUUGUAAACCGCUUUCGCCUGUGACGAAGCGUGAGUGACGGUAAUGGGUAAAGAAGCACCGGCUAACUACGUG
rnacentral:rRNA from 1 species